AGUGAGCGCUGGCGGUAGGCCUAACACAUGCAAGUCGAACGGCAGCACAGUAAGAGCUUGCUCUUACGGGUGGCGAGUGGCGGACGGGUGAGGAAUACAUCGGAAUCUACUUUUUCGUGGGGGAUAACGUAGGGAAACUUACGCUAAUACCGCAUACGACCUACGGGUGAAAGCAGGGGAUAUUCGGACCUUGCGCGAAUGAAUGAGCCGAUGUCGGAUUAGCUAGUUGGCGGGGUAAAGGCCCACCAAGGCGACGAUCCGUAGCUGGUCUGAGAGGAUGAUCAGCCACACUGGAACUGAGACACGGUCCAGACUCCUACGGGAGGCAGCAGUGGGGAAUAUUGGACAAUGGGCGCAAGCCUGAUCCAGCCAUACCGCGUGGGUGAAGAAGGCCUUCGGGUUGUAAAGCCCUUUUGUUGGGAAAGAAAAGCAGCAGGUUAAUACCCCGCUGUUCUGACGGUACCCAAAGAAUAAGCACCGGCUAACUUCGUG
rnacentral:rRNA from 1 species